UACGUAGGUGACAAGCGUUGUCCGGAUUUACUGGGCGUAAAGAGCGCGCAGGCGGUCGAUCAAGUCGAGUGUGAAAGCCCCCGGCUCAACUGGGGAGGGUCAUUCGAUACUGAUCGACUCGAAGGCAGGAGAGGGUAGUGGAAUUCCCGGUGUAGUGGUGAAAUGCGUAGAUAUCGAGAGGAACAUCGGUGGCGAAGGCGGCCUUCUGGACGGUGACUGACGCUGAGACGCGAAAGCGUGGGGAGCAAACAGG
rnacentral:rRNA from 1 species